AUUAUCAACAUGCCUGAAAAAACACUCCUUCUGAUCAACCCAAUGGAAAAUGAAGGUUCUUAUGAACGUAAAAUUCUGCGGAACUGGAGGUAACAUUGUUAGAACUGUUUCAUCUUUGUUUAAAUUUUUUGAUGCUAUUCAAUUCUAAACAUUGCUACCAAAUCUAGGAUUUAUUUUUUUAAACUGAGAAGGUGUGAUGAGGAAACAGCCCAGUGGCAAUUACAGACCCUAAAACACAACCCACAUGGAUUCUAGCAGUUGUGGAGUUUUGGUAUUGAAUUUUGCUGAAGAAUACCUGCUGACAGGAACGAUCAGCCAAGUUCAGACUACAUCUGAAGCAGUCAGCUCAUCACGCGUGAAAAUAGCCUGCACACUUCUUAGAUGUCGAGGUGAUGGACGAUUCAAGAUAGCUGUGGAUCAGGAAAUCAUUAAUGAUCACAUCACCUCCCCUGUUGUGGCCCUGAGCUACACUUUCUCUUUGUUUUAUGUUUUAAACAUCAAAUACCCAAAAGAGAUGUCUCUCUCCCUGGAAUUCAUCCAGCGAGUUUUCCUGGGAAUAAAUCCUGAACGUGGGUCCAAGGCUGAGAUGAAGGUAACAAAACUGCAACACAUUCCUUCCAGACUGUUGAAGUUCCUGUGUGACUUGAACAACUUUGAAAAUCCAUGAAAAAUGUUUUUUUUCAAAGGUCUUAAUGGAAGUUGGACUAAACAGCAGUUUUGCUCAAAUUGGCUCAUGGAAAAAGGUAAUAAGCACACGCAGACACAUGAAGCCCUGCGUCCCACUUCAUGCUCUUCUCUUAAGGACAAAUGGCACAAACACUGGAACAUUUUAAUGGUGACAAUAGUCUUGUUAUAGACAAGUCUAGAAAUUAUUAUUAAUGAUCUUGAGGGAAAUGUUAGUACUAUGGUGUUAGUUUUAUUUAUUUUUUUUAUUUCAAGAUGGUUGUUAAUCUCUAAAAUUCACUUGUUUUGAAUGUUAUCUAUGUUACCUCUCUUUGGUGUUACAUCCUUAUUAUACAGAUACAUUGUUUAAUUGUCUUUUGCUCUUAAAAAGCAAAAAAAGUUUUUAAUAGCGCUUUGUACAUUGUUAUAUGAAUUGCAGAGAUUGAAAAGCUGCAGCUGUUUUUGUAUUACUAGUAUGGUGUUUAUUUUAUUUUGUAUUCAUUUAUUUAUAAAUGGUUUUGACUUUCAAUUGGUUAUUGACCAUUGCCAUAUGAAUUUAAACUUUUUGACAGUGCAACUACUAUUAUACACAUACAUGCUCGUUUUAAGACAUUUAAUUGUCUUUUGUUUUUUAAAGCAAAAAAAGCAUUCAACACAAGUACUCUGUUGCACAUUAAAUGAAUUGUCCUGAUUUUUUGUGAAUUGUCUUUAUUUUAUUAAACUUGAAUUAAGAUUUUUUUUGUAUUUAAAAAUUGUUGACUCUUUUUGACAGAGCAGAACUACUAUUGUUCAUGUUCUUUUUUUAUUCAUUUUUUAUUAUUAUCAUUUAAUAAUCUUUUGUUAAGGCAAAAAGUGAACACAAGCACUUUCUGCAUAUUGGUAAAUUAAUUAUUAUUUAUUUUUUCGUGAUUAAUAUGCUGCAGCCCUGUUUUUGUAUACCAGAUUUCCCCCAUCUAUUUAAAUGAUCGGUUCUCAACUAUUUUACUUAUGAAAUGUAUCUUUUUAAUUUUUUCUGUCUUUUGCUUUUCACUUUCUGUGCAUUGUUAAAUAAAUUGUAAAUAUAUUUAUUUUUAUUUUGUGAUUUUUAAAAUCCUGUAGCCCUGUUUUUGUAUUCCAGGAUUCCCCAAGCUCCCAAAGUAAAGAUUUUGAAUCUUAACUUUUACAAUUAUGAAGUUUAAAAUGUUGACAUUGCAAUAUUAUUGUACAUUCAUGUUUUUAUUGUGUUGCUGUUAAAUGCAUUUUUUUACAUUGGUCAAUGAAUUGUUACCAUUUUUAUGUUUUAAAGCUGAAGCCCUGUAUUUGUAUUUCAGGUUUGGUGCAAGCUUUUGAAUGUGAUUGAAUGGACUUAAAGGAGCCGUAUGUAGGAUUGUGGCCUAAACUGGUACUGCAAUCACUAUAAAAAUACUGUAGAGCGGUGUAUCCCCUCCCCCUACCCCCUGACUCGAGGUUGCCAGAUGAGCUGCAGGAUUCAGCAGAAACGUAGGCUGCUUCAAUGAGCUUCCAAUGGCAAGUGACGAACAGCCGUACACAGUACGUCCAUGUGAGCUAACGUUAUGUUACUUUGCACAAACAUG
ensembl:lncRNA